CUGCAAAAAGUACAUUGCUCCACUGGAGGCAAGUAUAUAUCUACAAGGGCAUGAACUCCUCGUCGAUGACCUUGUAGUGCUUCUUGGCGUCGUACUGCUGCACGAUGAGGACGGAGGCGGUGGUGGAGAAGUCGGAGGAGGCGAGGAUGUCGCCGACGGGGCCGAGCUCCAGGCACUCGGCCCACUCAUCCAGCCCCUCCGUCAGCACGGAGCUGCGGUCCCUGCCGCGCCCCACGAUGAAGAGCCGGUAGUCCGCCUGCAUGCCCCGGAGCACCGCCACCAGCUCGGCCCCGUCCGCCACGUGCUUCUCCAGGUACCCGAUGGCCGUGGCGCCCUGCUGCCUGCUCCCGGCCACGUGCUUCCGGUAGAACUCCGCGAAGAACUUGUCGUCCACCUGCAUCUGCGCCUCCUCCUGCCCCAGCGCCGACGACGCCGGGGCGCCGAUGCCGAUGCCACUGCCGCCGCCGCCGCCGCCGCCGCCGCGCCGGCUGCCCUUGCUCUCGAACAGGCUCGUCCGUGCCUUAGCGCGCGCCUGCGCCGUCGCGUUCUGCACCACGCGCAGCGCCGUCAGACGCACGCCCGGGUGCUUGUACAUCAGGGACGCCAGCGUCAGGGCCUCGCGGUCGUCCGCGCCUCCGAUGAACACCACCACAACGGCCGCCGCCGUCUGUGUCUGGGAGCCGCUGCUGACGGCGGCGGCGUGCUUCCCGAGGCCUCGGUCCACCACCACGCCCACCGAGCACGGCGCCAGCUGCAGCACCUUCUGGUUGACGACCCGGAAGCCGUAGUGGCCCGGUUCCAUGGUGCCAUCCGCCCGCUGCGCCUUGUGGAACGGGAGCAGCACCAGCGCUGCCAUCGCGUCCUCCGCGCAGAUGCAGAUGUCGCUGUGCAUGUCCGGGAACGACGACAGAGCCAGCAGCCGCCGCACCUUCACCUUGGCGCCGCCGCCGCACUCCGCCUGGUACGCGUCCAGCGCCUCGCCGAUGAGCUUACGCAUCUCCGACACCUCUUCGUCCACCACGGUAACGCCGUCGAAGCCGCCGCCCUUCACGAUGGCCGCCGCCGUCUGGUCCGUCAUCUGCACCAUGUCCACGGCGUACACGGCGAGCUCGCCGCCUCCCCCGGCGCCGCCGCCCCAGCGCAGCGCCUCCAUCAGGUAGGCCAGCGUCGGCACGUCCUGCGGGCCGUGCAACCCCACCACGAGGCGCAGCUCCGUGGACGGGUCGUGGUGCUGCAGCCCCAUGAGCCGCCACUGCACACUCCGCCGCGCCCACGACGCGAUGCCCACCCCGACCAUGGGUG
rnacentral:misc_RNA from 1 species